CUGGUCUGAGCUGUGUGUCCUUAGACAAAGCAGGGAUCCUAAUAUUGACUCCACAGGGUUGUGAGGAGAAGGGGAGGAGCUUGGCAUGGAGCAGGUGUCAGUAAGGCUUAGUUUCCUUUCCCCUCCUUCAGCAAGACCACAAUCAUCAACUGCAAUCAACUCAGAGAGGACUUCUUUGCAGAUGCAAGGACCAGGGCCCCAGAGGAUGACCUCGUGCUUGGGCAGCUGGUUAGUGCAGAGCUGGACUACUAUCCACUCUUCGGUGCCUGUGAAGAUCAUUUUUCAGCAGUGGGGGAGAAGAAUUUGCUGUUGAGAAGCCUCUCCUCCAAACUUGCCCAUGCUCUACCUUCUCUGCACUCAGGUGACAACAUGCCAUCUGCCAGCUGUGACAAAUGAGAUUUCCAAUAUCAUUCGAGGAAAGGAGAUCUUAAUCACAAAGAGACAGCUCAAUCCACUAACCUACAGUCAUAACAAAGCUACCUGGCAGGCAAUUUUUGAACAUGAUAGCAAAUCAUUUUAAAUAAACUUGAUCGAAAUGACCAAAAGAA